GCCCGCUUAGCUCAAUCGGAUAGAGCGUCAGACUCUUACAGUCAAGGCAGGCUAGUGAUAUCUGAAGGCUGCGAGUUCGACCCUCGCGGUGGGCU